rnacentral:lncRNA from 1 species
AAUACUAAAAGUAUCAUAUGCUUGAUGGCAUGCAUGUAUUUCAAUAGACAGAGUUUAACUAAUAACUUGGUUUGCGUCACAGUGAUCAAGAAGUUGGGUGCACUUCUGUUUGAUGUUCUUGAAAAAUGCAGUAAGUUCUCCUACUAUCCUUGUAUCCUGGCUAUUCAGCUUUUUAAACUUAUUUUGCCUUAUUUCAUAAAAAGAAUUUAUCUUUCAAAUAAAAAUGCUAUCACCAAAAAAAGAAAGAGGGAAUUAAUGAACUGCUAAAUUAAUUUAUAACACUGAUAACGUACACCAAUAGAAACGAUUAAGCUGAAAGAAUGUAGGAUGCCUUUAAUGAUUUUUGUGUACUCCUAGCUAAAAUUUGUUAAUUUACUUGUGCAAUGGAUCCCUCGAAUUUCGCUCAUCGUCUGGCCAUGCAUCGCAGUGCCUCCUUUGCAACACGUCCGAGAGAAAAAGUCAAAACAUUACAAUGCAGUUAAGUUUGCAGAAUGCCUAUGUGAAAAAAUAGAAAAAUUGGGUCACGAAGAAGUGGACUCAAUUGUUAGUCGUCCUCUCCUUCAAGCGGCACGCUAUGGCAGCUAUGAGCUUGUUGAAAUUAUUGUGAGAAAAUUUCCAUCACUAGUUUACUCUGUGGACCGAAAUGACAAGAAUAUAUUUCACCUUGCAAUAGAGCAUCGAUGCGAAAAUGUGUUUAACUUGGUUUAUCAGAUGAGUCAACAUAGGCACCAAUUGAUGAUUUCAGCAGACUCCUCCCGCAAUACCAUGCUUCAUUUGGCUGGAAAACUAGCGCCCCAAAAUAAACUAAACCUUGUUUCCGGCCCAGCUCUUCAGAUGCAACGCUUCAUUUGGCUGGGAAACUAGCGCCCCAAAAUAAACUAAACCUUGUUUCCGGCCCAGCUCUUCAGAUGCAACGAGAAUUACAAUGGUUCAAGGUAAUCAUAACUUCUUUCCCACCCAAUCCUUCUCGAAUUUGUCAAUACGUGAUUAAGGAUUAAUUUUUUUUCAUCUUGUGUUCAGCUAAAGUAUAUAUUAGUUGAGUAGUAAUUUACUUUAUUUGCCAAUUUGGGGUUCUUUUGAACACUUGCUUAAUAUUAUCAUUUUACCCUAGUACUAGUAUAUAUUCUAACCGUUUUUUAACCCUUGUAAUCUAACUAUUUUCUACGUUUUGUUAAAUAGAAAGAAAGAACCUUUUUUGC